UACGAAGGGGGCUAGCGUUGUUCGGAAUCACUGGGCGUAAAGGGCGCGUAGGCGGCCGAUCAAGUCGGGGGUGAAAGCCUGUGGCUCAACCACAGAAUUGCCUUCGAUACUGUUUGGCUUGAGUCCGGAAGAGGUAAGUGGAACUGCGAGUGUAGAGGUGAAAUUCGUAGAUAUUCGCAAGAACACCAGUGGCGAAGGCGGCUUACUGGUCCGGUUCUGACGCUGAGGCGCGAAAGCGUGGGGAGCAAACGGG
rnacentral:rRNA from 1 species